rnacentral:tRNA from 1 species
UGAUAAUUAGUUUAAGCCAAAACAAGUGAUUUCGACUCACUAAAUU